UACGUAGGUGGCAAGCGUUAUCCGGAAUUAUUGGGCGUAAAGCGCGCGCAGGCGGUUUCUUAAGUCUGAUGUGAAAGCCCACGGCUCAACCGUGGAGGGUCAUUGGAAACUGGGAAACUUGAGUGCAGAAGAGAAAAGCGGAAUUCCACGUGUAGCGGUGAAAUGCGUAGAGAUGUGGAGGAACACCAGUGGCGAAGGCGACUACCUGGCCUGUUCUUGACGCUGAGGCGCGAAAGCUAGGGGAGCAAACGGG
rnacentral:rRNA from 1 species